rnacentral:rRNA from 1 species
UGGGGAAUUUUGGACAAUGGGGGCAACCCUGAUCCAGCAAUGCCGCGUGUGUGAAGAAGGCCUUCGGGUUGUAAAGCACUUUUGUCCGGGAAGAAAUCGCACCUGAUAAUACCGGGUGUGGAUGACGGUACCGGAAGAAUAAGGACCGGCUAACUACGUGCCAGCAGCCGCGGUAAUACGUAGGGUCCAAGCGUUAAUCGGAAUUACUGGGCGUAAAGCGUGCGCAGGCGGUUGUGCAAGGCCGAUGUGAAAUCCCCGGGCUUAACCUGGGAAAUGCCAUUGGUGCUGGUCGGCUUGAGGUUGGUCGGGGGGGGUAGAAUUCCCCCGGUAGCAGUGAAAUGCCUAGGGAUGGGGGAGAAAACCGAUUGGGAAGGCAGCCCCCUGGGAUAACACUGACGCUCAUGCACGAAAGCGUGGGGAGCAAACAGG